AAAAGCUUUUAUUGUUGUGAUGGAAACAGUUCUUUUUAAAUCAAUAUUCUGUUUGCUGUCUGUCGUCUGCGAAUGCGAGUGUCACCACGGGAAUUCACAUCAAAUCACAGAGAACAGCCAGCCGGGGAAUGGGUGUAAAUUUCAGGCAGACCACCCGGCAUUUUGAGAGAACUUGCAACUUAAGGCCUUCAACAAGAUAAAGGAGAGCAUCUACGCACAGAUCCAUCCAGAGUUUAUCUGAUUUGUAAUGCUUCAGAGAGACUAAGACUGACAGAGUACAAUGGACUCACCAAACCUAAACUUGUGAAAGAUGGACCUGGGUCUACUGCUGAACAGAGAAAAUCUCCACUAGGAAAGUUCUUCGAUUGAGGUUGCCAAGCAAUCUUCGACACAGGAACCUCUGUUUUGGCCAACAGCUGACGUGGAAUAGAUUUGUAAGCUUGAUGGGAGCUGCACCUCUUGUCAAUCGCGUCAAAGUAAAGGAGUCUGAGAGGGGAGAGACACUUUGAGUGAGUGGAUUCAUCAGAAUGGACUUUCUUAAACCCCUUGGCGCUCUUUGGAUCCUUGGUGACAUCUUCAUUGGCAAAUACUACUCCAAAUUUGAUCGAGUGGACAACCGUUUAGGUUUCGCUGAUGCUAUCAAGGGUGUAGAAUCCAAGGCUGAGUAAGAAACCUACUUUGUAAAUUUGAAGGAUUAUUUUGGGAGUAAGGAAAAGUAAAGAUGGGCCAAACAAAAAUAUAAUAAUGUUUCCUAUUAAACUGAAUAUGGGUAACAGGUUUGUGGCAAUGCAUGCUUAAAAUCAUUUAAAUAGUGCUGAUUGGUAUUAUUAUGCAAAAUAACUGCUGACUGGAAUUAUUAUACAAAAUAAAACUAUUUGGUCAUUCAUUGACUUUUACAAUUGAGUGCAGAAAUUAAAUGAACUCAGACGGACUGUCAGUCAAACCUGACAUUUGUGGAAAACAAAUAUUGCAAAUAGAAAUAUCGCCUACCUAUCCACCCUACUUGUUGACCACUUUAGCAACACCUAGCAAGUUGUUGUACUCGCCUUGUUUUCAGUGUUACAGGAUAAAACUUCUAAAAGCAUUGCCUACCUGUGUGCUCACCCUUUUUGUGAGGAAACAUGACUAUAUUUUUGAUAUGCCCAGACUUCCUGCCUACAAAUUUUUCAUUGUAAUAGGAAAAAAAAACAUGACUUAAUUUCUGUUUAGCCAAAAUAUUAAGACAAAUGUUGCCCAAAUUUUACCUAAAUUCAGUGUGAUAGGAAACGUGAUUAAAUUUCUGUGUGGCCCAACUGAAAACUACCCAUUUAUUUCCAAUGUACAUGUAAAAGGAAACAUAACUAUCAUUUCGUUUGGCUCGAGUGUGACCACCAAUAAAUUUGGUUAAAAGUUAUCUUUCAAUAAACUGAAAGUUAAAGGCACUGGACACUAUUGGUAAUUACUC